rnacentral:piRNA from 1 species
UGCAGAGAUUCUGAGAGAGAACGUAGG